rnacentral:lncRNA from 1 species
CCGGUUCAAAUCCCAACACCUCCCCGAUAAAGAAAAAAAUCUCAUCGCAGGAAGACAGUGUGUGACUCUGGAGCCCUAGCUGCUCUAGCACCAAGCCUGCUCUGAGUGGUCUCACCUGGUCCACAGAGGCCUUCUGAUGGCACCACGCACUUCUGGGGUUGGCAGCAGCUACGGGAUAUGGGGAAAUCUGAAACCAAGGCUUGGUAGGACACCCUUUGAAAAGAGAAGAGGGUGUGUGCUCAUCUGUCUGUCAGGACCACUGAUGCAGACAUGGAGAAGUUGAGCUGGUGCCCAGCUAGAAGUUUCAUCGCUACCAACUAGUGUUCAUGGCACUGAAAGUUAUUCUGCUCGCCACAGAAGAGAAAGGUGAUUUCUGAGCCCCGAGUGCCACAUGGCCAUGUUCUUCCUGCCUGCCUGACUGGGAUGUCAGCUCUGUCACUGGCAGGUGGUGUGUGCGGAGCACAGAAGGUACAGUGGAUGACAGGAAGGAGCUGGAGGCGAUGCCAACAGCCUAGGUGUCUGAUCGAUGGCUCUCAACCAAUGGCAGGACCGCUCACCUACCGAGUGGACAUUUGGCAAUGUCUGGAAAUAGUGCUGGGCUUGGACUAGG